UUGCUUCGUCACACUGUUGUGGGCAAAUGAAAUGAAUGUGUGUAUCUACCCCUCCCGCCGUGACGAUCAUUUUCUCGCCGGCGAUGACGUCGGUAGUUGGUCCUACGAUCAUUUCUUUCCCAGGUGUCAGAGUAACGCCAUCUGCAUCGUUUCGAUUAUGCGCGUCAGUGCAAAAGGUGGAGUUAGAGCAGCGAGCAAGAAAGACACGCAUAAUCGAAGACACUUACGCAUCAUAUCCGGAUUCCCGGCCUUGCCGAUGUUGUGAAUCUUACUUCCCUUGAUUCCAAUGUCAGCCUUGAUCACACCCAAUUUAGCGUCUAUGAUGAUUGCAUUGGUAAUGACAGUAUCCAGCGCGAGAUCAGAGGAAACCGAAGUCAUCUGGCCCAUUCCCUCGCGUAA
rnacentral:sRNA from 1 species